GCAUCGAUAGUAUAAUGGUUAGUACAUCAGCCUUCCAAGCUGAUUAUCCGGGUUCGAAUCCCGGUCGAUGCA
rnacentral:tRNA from 1 species